rnacentral:ncRNA from 1 species
CAGAGUAGGCUUGCAGGCGUUGAGUGCCGCGGGGACGGGGAGUUGUCCCGCGGACGAAUAGAAACGGGCGUUUCUUGCGAUCUGCCGGCCGCAUCCCGCUG